rnacentral:rRNA from 1 species
AUGGCCGGAGCCGAGGAAGACGAAGUGGCUCCUUCUGCUCCACAUCCUGUAGAUCCACAACAACCCAUGGGACAGGGGCCGGCGGCCAAGCGGAGCAGGUCGGAGCACCACCACGGCGACGGCGACGCGCCGUCCUUCAAGAUGGAGGACCUGCCCGUGGAUGUUCAAGCUGUUAUAAUGUCGCUUCUGCCACUGAAAAUGGCUGUGAGGACAAGCAUUGUUUCAAAAAAUUGGAGAAUGCUCUGGACAUUCCGCUGUAAUUUAUCUUUUAAAGGCCCACGUUAUCUGUGUGAGAAUGAUACCAAAAUACAACAAGCAAAAUGCAUUGAGACAGUAAAUUGUGUUAUUCACCAGCAUAGUCAGAUAGGGAUCAAUAAGUUCAGCAUCAGAUGUGGCCUGUUUGAGGAGGACUCUGUUCAUCUCGGCAGGUGGAUUCGGUUUGCCGCCUCAUCGAAGGCAAAGAUAAUACAUCUUGAUCUGAGGUUCAAGGAUGUGUUUGAAGAAGUAAACCACUUGCAUCUUGAGGCCUUAUUAGAUGCUCAAGGUAGCUCAUUUGUACGGUCCUUGUUUCUUGGAGGUGUUGUUAUAAAGCCACACUCAGCAAUAUGUGGCUUUACAAUACUCAGAAGGCUUGUUCUGCAAUCAGUCACGAUAUCCGGAGACUUUACAGGCUUUUUGGCAAAUUGUGCAGCACUUGAGGACCUAGAGAUGAUCGAGUGCUCCGGUUUAACUAAUUUAAUCAUACCACAGCAACUUGAUAAACUCCAGCAUUUGCUAAUUGAUGGAAUGGAAGUGGAGAUGGUCGAGUUUUAUGCUGCAGAUCUUUCUCAUUUUGAGUACAAAGGGCAAGUGGUCCCCAUAGUGCAUCAUGGUUGCUCAAAAUUAGAGAAGGCAACAAUAAUGUUUAGUGGUAAGAAAGGACUGGCCAAGGCAUUCACUGCAGUUCCAAGCAUUUUGCCAGUGAAGAUAUUAAAUGUGCAAUCUGUUGCUCUAUCAAAAUAUUCACAGUUGCAGAAACUGCCAACAAGACCUGACGGAAUGUUUAUGCAUUUGAGGCACAUGACUUGUAGAAUAAUUGUCCAUUCAAGACCACAAGAAGCCAAUUACGACAUUGAAGUUCUUCAACUGGCCUAUUGUUUGGAUGCUGCACCCCAACUGGAGACAUUGCAAUUGAAUAUGUUCUAUGUGUCAUCCAGUGGUGUGUCCAGUGCUGAGGUGGUGGGUAUGCGCCGGCAUGAUCAUCUCAAGACAGUCUUCAUGAGCGGGUUUCGCUGUUACAAGGCUCAGAUUAAGCUGGCGUGCUGUAUCUUGGGAAAUGCUUCUGUUCUUGAGAAACUGACAAUAGAACCAAGGAUCACAGGCACAAGAUAUCUGGGUGAUAAUACUGACCUGCACAAAAUUUUACCAGGGGUCUGUGAGUGGGCGCAACUUACCUCCGAGCGCUUCGGUAAGGUGAUCAAUGUCUCAGGUGCUCCCCUUCACAGGACUCCAAACCCCAUAAUCGGUGAAACUCUGGAAGCUAAAACUUCUUUGGAGGAUCAGGAUUUUUACAUGGCAGUGGCAGGUUCUCCGUCAUAG